rnacentral:rRNA from 1 species
UGAGGGAUAUUGGUCAAUGGGCGCAAGCCUGAACCAGCGACGCCGCGUGGGUGAAGAAGGUCUUCGGAUCGUAAAGCCCUUUUCCCACUGAAGAGGAAGGACGGUAGGUGGGGAAGAAGUCUCGGCUAACUACGUGCCAGCAGCCGCGGUAAAACGUAGGAGACAAGCGUUAUCCGGAGUUACUGGGCGUAAAGGGCGUGCAGGUGGCGUCUUAAGUCUGUUGUGAAAGCGCCUGGCUUAACCGGGCGAGGCCAAUGGAGACUGAGAGGCUGGAGGACGGCGGAGGGGUGUGGAAUUCCGGAUGUAGUGGUGAAAUGCGUAGAGAUCCGGAGGAACACCAGAGGCGAAGGCGGCACUCUAAGCCGUACCUGACACUGAGACGCGACAGCACGGGGAGCAAACG